CAGGAAACAGAAAGUGCAUAGUUGCAUGUCUAAAAGCUGUUACAUAUUAACCACUGGAGGACAUUGCCACAGCCAAGUACAUGUACAUGUACGUGUAGGACACACAACCCUUUACCUGCUGUUGACGCUUUGAAGUGUAGUGCCCUGCACUUGCGUCUAUCAGAAAUGUCAAAUUUUAAGGUUUCAGCACCCUGAGACAUCACUUGCAUGGUGUCGUCCUGUAUGCAGUUCCAAAAGUACUUUGAGGCUGCCAAAAACAUCAAGAAUCUUCUACACAUUCUGGCCAUUAUGUGGAAAAGGACAGGGUUUCACUGGGGUAUUGUGUGUAGGCCCUGAUAUGAUAAAUUGUGC